rnacentral:rRNA from 1 species
GACGAACGCUGGCGGCGUGCCUAAUGCAUGCAAGUCGAGCGCAGGAAGCUGACGGAACUCUUCGGAGGGAAGGCAGUGGAAUGAGCGGCGGACGGGUGAGUAACACGUAAGGAACCUGCCUCAAGGAUUGGGAUAACUCCGAGAAAUCGGAGCUAAUACCGGAUAGUUCAACGGACCGCAUGGUCCGCUGAUGAAAGGCGCUCCGGCGUCACCUUGAGAUGGCCUUGCGGUGCAUUAGUUAGUUGGUGGGGUAACGGCCCACCAAGGCGACGAUGCAUAGCCGACCUGAAAGGGUGAUCGGCCACACUGGGACUGAGACACGGCCCAGACUCCUACGGGAGGCAGCAGUAGGGAAUCUUCCACAAUGGACGAAAGUCUGAUGGAGCAACGCCGCGUGAGUGAUGAAGGUUUUCGGAUCGUGAAACUCUGUUGUAAGGGAAGAACACGUACGAGAGGGAAUGCUCGUACCUUGACGGUACCUUACGAGAAAGCCACGGCUAACUACGUGCCAGCCGCCGCGGUAACAC